rnacentral:rRNA from 1 species
CCCUUAGAUGUUCUGGGCUGCACGCGCGCUACACUGAUGCGCUCAACGAGUUUUAACCUUGCCUGGAAAGGUUGGGUAAUCUUUUUAAAACGCAUCGUGAUGGGGAUAGAUUAUUGCAAUUAUUAAUCUUCAACGAGGAAUUCCUAGUAAGCGCAAGUCAUCAGCUUGCGUCGAUUACGUCCCUGCCCUUUGUACACACCGCCCGUCGCUCCUACCGAUUGGGUGUGCUGGUGAAAUGUUCGGAUCGGCCGUUUGUCGCGGUUUCCGCGUCAUGUGGCUGAGAAGUUCAUUAAACCCUCCCACCUAGAGGAAGGAGAAGUCGUAACA